UACGGAGGAUCCGAGCGUUAUCCGGAUUCAUUGGGUUUAAAGGGUGCGUAGGCGGAAUGGUAAGUCAGUGGUGAAAUCCUGCAGCUUAACUGUAGAAUUGCCGUUGAUACUGCCAAUCUUGAGUACAUUUGAAGUGGGCGGAAUGUGUCAUGUAGCGGUGAAAUGCUUAGAUAUGACACAGAACACCGAUUGCGAAGGCAGCUCACUAAACUGUAACUGACGCUGAGGCACGAAAGCGUGGGGAGCAAAC
rnacentral:rRNA from 1 species